UACGGGGGGAGCAAGCGUUAUUCGGAAUUAUUGGGCGUAAAGGGCGCGUAGGCGGCCACGCGUGUCUUUCGUGAAAUCCCUCGGCUUAACUGAGGACGUGCGGAAGAAACUGCGAGGCUUGAGUCCGGGAGAGGGGGGUGGAAUUCCCAGUGUAGCGGUGAAAUGCGUAGAUAUUGGGAGGAACACCGGUGGCGAAGGCGGCCCCCUGGACCGGUACUGACGCUGAGGCGCGAAAGCGUGGGUAGCAAACGGG
rnacentral:rRNA from 1 species